CCUACGGGGUGCAGCAGUGAGGAAUAUUGGUCAAUGGACGAGAGUCUGAACCAGCCAAGUAGCGUGAAGGAUGACUGCCCUAUGGGUUGUAAACUUCUUUUAUAUGGGAAUAAAAUGUUCCACGUGUGGGAUUUUGUAUGUACCAUAUGAAUAAGGAUCGGCUAACUCCGUGCCAGCAGCCGCGGUAAUACGGAGGAUCCGAGCGUUGUCCGGAUUUAUUGGGUUUAAAGGGAGCGUAGGUGGAUUGUUAAGUCAGUUGUGAAAGUUUGCGGCUCAACCGUAAAAUUGCAGUUGAAACUGGCAGUCUUGAGUACAGUAGAGGUGGGCGGAAUUCGUGGUGUAGCGGUGAAAUGCUUAGAUAUCACGAAGAACUCCGAUUGCGAAGGCAGUUCACUGGACUGCAACUGACACUGAGGCUCGAAAGUGUGGGUAUCAAACAGGAUUAGAUACCCGGGUAGUC
rnacentral:rRNA from 1 species